ACGGAAGGCAGCAGUGGGGAAUAUUGCACAAUGGGGGAAACCCUGAUGCAGCGACGCCGCGUGAGUGAAGAAGUAUUUCGGUAUGUAAAGCUCUAUCAGCAGGGAAGAAAAUGACGGUACCUGACUAAGAAGCUCCGGCUAAAUACGUGCCAGCAGCCGCGGUAAUACGUAUGGAGCAAGCGUUAUCCGGAUUUACUGGGUGUAAAGGGAGUGUAGGCGGCUGCGCAAGUCAGAAGUGAAAGCCCGGGGCUUAACCCCGGGACUGCUUUUGAAACUGUGUAGCUAGAGUGCAGGAGAGGCAAGCGGAAUUCCUAGUGUAGCGGUGAAAUGCGUAGAUAUUAGGAAGAACACCGGUGGCGAAGGCGGCUUGCUGGACUGAGACCGACGCUGAGGCUCGAAAGCGUGGGGAGCAAACAGGAUUAGAUACCCUGGUA
rnacentral:rRNA from 1 species